rnacentral:rRNA from 1 species
GCUUAACACAUGCAAGUCGAGGGGCAGCAUGGUCUUAGCUUGCUAAGGCCGAUGGCGACCGGCGCACGGGUGAGUAACACGUAUCCAACCUGCCGUCUACUCUUGGACAGCCUUCUGAAAGGAAGAUUAAUACAAGAUGGCAUCAUGAGUCCGCAUGUUCACAUGAUUAAAGGUAUUCCGGUAGACGAUGGGGAUGCGUUCCAUUAGAUAGUAGGCGGGGUAACGGCCCACCUAGUCUUCGAUGGAUAGGGGUUCUGAGAGGAAGGUCCCCCACAUUGGAACUGAGACACGGUCCAAACUCCUACGGGAGGCAGCAGUGAGGAAUAUUGGUCAAUGGGCGCAGGCCUGAACCAGCCAAGUAGCGUGAAGGAUGACUGCCCUAUGGGUUGUAAACUUCUUUUAUAAAGGAAUAAAGUCGGGUAUGUAUACCCGUUUGCAUGUACUUUAUGAAUAAGGAUCGGCUAACUCCGUGCCAGCAGCCGCGGUAAUACGGAGGAUCCGAGCGUUAUCCGGAUUUAUUGGGUUUAAAGGGAGCGUAGAUGGAUGUUUAAGUCAGUUGUGAAAGUUUGCGGCUCAACCGUAAAAUUGCAGUUGAUACUGGAUAUCUUGAGUGCAGUUGAGGCAGGCGGAAUUCGUGGUGUAGCGGUGAAAUGCUUAGAUAUCACGAAGAACUCCGAUUGCGAAGGCAGC